GCUGUUAUGGUGAAAUUGGUAAACACAGAGUUUUCAAAAAACUCCGACUUAACGUCUUAUCGGUUCAAGUCCGAUUAACGGCA
rnacentral:tRNA from 1 species